rnacentral:tRNA from 1 species
GCCCCGGUAGCUCAAUGGAAGAGCAAGGGACUUCUAAGCCCGAGGCUGUAGGUUCGAUCCCUACCCGGGGCA